AGGGGAGUUUUCAUCGACAGCACCUCCACAAACCGACUAUUCCCACACCUCUCUAUCAUCGUCUUCCCGGCGCUUCGGUCCUCAUUCCUCAAUCCCGUCCCGUGGGCGUCGCGCGAUCUCCGGUCCUGGGAGAUCAGGGCUCUGCUUCAUUGCUGUUCCUUCCCUCGUUCCUCGGCAGCGCGUGCUCCUUCGAACCGCCGCCGCAUCGCCCGCUGGAGUGUCUCCAGUCCCCCACACCAUUUCGUGCAUGGAAAUCUAGUGACCUGGAUCUAAUCUCUGAGCAUGUUUGUGUACGAGGGUAGAGGACCAGGAUCCACGCAAUUAGAUUUCAGUUCCAAGUUGAACUAAAUCACCAAAAUCCCAGGAAUAAGUUAAAAAGUUUGUAUGGGCAGCUAUGGAAAUAACUCGCAAAUAAAGAGAGUUGUUUCCAGCUACAAACGAUUGAAUGAAUAACGAAAACACUGUGUUUGAUGUACGGAGCUAGCUGAAACUCCGUAAGAAAUAAUAUGGAUGUAAAAUUUCUUUGAUGA